rnacentral:rRNA from 1 species
CUCCCAAACCCCUGUGAACAUACCAACUGUUGCCUCGGCGGAUCAGCCCGCUCCCGGUAAAACGGGACGGCCCGCCAGAGGACCCCUAAACUCUGUUUCUAUAUGUAACUUCUGAGUAAAACCAUAAAUAAAUCAAAACUUUCAACAACGGAUCUCUUGGUUCUGGCAUCGAUGAAGAACGCAGCAAAAUGCGAUAAGUAAUGUGAAUUGCAGAAUUCAGUGAAUCAUCGAAUCUUUGAACGCACAUUGCGCCCGCCAGUAUUCUGGCGGGCAUGCCUGUUCGAGCGUCAUUUCAACCCUCAAGCCCAGCUUGGUGUUGGGACUCGCGAGUCAAAUCGCGUUCCCCAAAUUGAUUGGCGGUCACGUCGAGCUUCCAUAGCGUAGUAGUAAAACCCUCGUUACUGGUAAUCGUCGCGGCCACGCCGUUAAACCCCAACUUCUGAAUGUUGACCUCGGAUCAGGUAGG